rnacentral:rRNA from 1 species
GACGAACGCUGGCGGCGUGCCUAAUACAUGCAAGUCGAGCGGACGUUUUUGAAGCUUGCUUCAAAAACGUUAGCGGCGGACGGGUGAGUAACACGUGGGCAACCUGCCUUAUCGACUGGGAUAACUCCGGGAAACCGGGGCUAAUACCGGAUAACAUCUAGCACCUCCUGGUGCCAGAUUAAAAGAGGGCCUUCGGGCUCUCACGGUGAGAUGGGCCCGCGGCGCAUUAGCUAGUUGGAGAGGUAAUGGCCCCCCAAGGCGACGAUGCGUAGCCGACCUGGGAGGGGGAUCGGCCACACUGGGACUGAGACACGGCCCAGACUCCUACGGGAGGCAGCAGUAGGGAAUCUUCCGCAAUGGACGAAAGUCUGACGGAGCAACGCCGCGUGAGUGAUGAAGGGUUUCGGCUCGUAAAGCUCUGUUAUGAGGGAAGAACACGUACCGUUCGAAUAGGGCGGUACCUUGACGGUACCUCAUCAGAAAGCCACGGCUAACUACGUGCCAGCAGCCGCCGUAA